CCUUAGGGUGGCGUUCGCUGUCGAACUGGGCAUGCUCAGCACGAAGGGCUAGGCUAGUAGCGAGUAAGAAGCUUUGGGAUUACUCUGUGAGCGGAGAGAGCGCGCAGCGGGUCUGGCUGGGGAGAGUUAGGUCUCGCUGGGAAGGUCCUCUUCUCAUCCCGCCUCUCUUAAGCAUCGGUGCGGGAGGCAGCUGGCUUUCCCGGCCAGGGACACUCGGGAGGUGCUGCCUUGGGUCGAGGAGUGGCGGGGCUUCUGCUAGUUCACCUCGAGCCCAAGUCCAUUUUCUCGGUCCUUGACCAAAGACGAGAGCUGCUGAGCUCCAAGAAAAGCUUUUGUGCACUGCUCGCUGCUGGCUCUGAGCAAGGAAAAACAGCCUACCAAGGCCAUCUAUUAAGGGUAACGUCGUUGAACUUAAGGGGUGAAUUUUGUGGACUAAAAAUAGAAGCCAUAUUUUCAUUUUUAAGGUAAGUAUUUUUAUGGAUGAGACGUGAAAAUCUUCAGUAUAUGAUUAUAGAAAACUGAGUUAGGAGAUCAUUU
rnacentral:lncRNA from 1 species